AUUGAACGCUGGCGGCAGGCCUAACACAUGCAAGUCGAGCGGAUGAAGGGAGCUUGCUCCUGGAUUCAGCGGCGGACGGGUGAGUAAUGCCUAGGAAUCUGCCGGGUAGUGGGGGAUAACGUCCGGAAACGGGCGCUAAUACCGCAUACGUCCUGAGGGAGAAAGUGGGGGAUCUUCGGACCUCACGCUAUCAGAUGAGCCUAGGUCGGAUUAGCUAGUUGGUGGGGUAAAGGCCUACCAAGGCGACGAUCCGUAACUGGUCUGAGAGGAUGAUCAGUCACACUGGAACUGAGACACGGUCCAGACUCCUACGGGAGGCAGCAGUGGGGAAUAUUGGACAAUGGGCGAUAGCCUGAUCCAGCCAUGCCGCGUGUGUGAAGAAGGUCUUCGGAUUGUAGAGCACUUUAAGUUGGGAGGAAGGGCAGUAAGUUAAUACCUUGCUGUUUUGACGUUACCAACAGAAUAAUCACCGGCUAACUUCGUG
rnacentral:rRNA from 1 species